GCCGGGCACAGGGUGCAUGCCUGUAAUCCCUGUGGCUCUGGAGGCUGAGGCAGGAGGAUUGCCAGUUCAAGGCCAGCCUUAGCAACAGUGAGGUGCUAAGAAACUCAGUGAGACCCUGUCUCUA
rnacentral:sRNA from 1 species